rnacentral:rRNA from 1 species
ACCGGGUGACCGGAUGCCGAUCUCGAAAACCUGUCCCAGUUCGGACCGGAGUCUGCAACCCGACUCCACGAAGUUGGAUUCGCUAGUAAUCGCGCAUCAGCCAUGGCGCGGUGAAUACGUUCCCGGGCCUUGUACACACCGCCCGUCAAGCCAUGGGAGCCGGGGGCGCCUGAAGUCCGGGACCGCGAGGACCGGCCUAAGGCGAAACUGGUGACUGGGGCUAAGUCGUAACAAGGUAUC